CUCAGCCAACGUGUUUGACUCUGCUGUGUACUACUGUGCUGUGAGGCCCACAGUGACAGGAAACACCAGGACUCUGUACAAAAACACAAGCUGCCACCCUGACAAGCUGCUGGAAGCCUUUUCUCCACUGCUGCAGUGACCUGUUCUCUCCACUAGAGGGCCACAUCAUCCAGUAGGCGCUGCACUACUUCUGCACUGGGCUCAGACAUUCUGCCAAGAAUAACUGCUGCUGUGAACAGAGCAGUUCUCACACUGACUGUUGGACAUCAGCUGGUUUCUCCUGCUGCUUUAGACCUGCUGGUAGAGAUGGAGCAUUGGCUGUGGAUCAUUCUGGCUGUUCUUUGCUCUGAGUGUAAAGGAGAAGACAAAGUGACCCAGCCAGUAGGAGACAUCACUGCUGCUGUAGGAGACACAGUUACACUGAACUGUACUUUUGAGACCAGUUACACUCCCUACUUGUUUUGGUACAAACAAGAAGAAAAUGACUUUCCCAAGUAUAUUUUGCGAAGUGAUACUUUUGGAUCAGACAAUGCUCCAGAGUUUCAGAAGGACAGAUUUAAUGCUAUAAUGAACAAGCCAUCAGUUCCUCUGACGAUCCAGAAGCUUCAGCUGAAUGACUCUGCUGUGUACUACUGUGCUCUGCAGCCCACAGUGACAGGAAACACCAGGACUCUGUACAAAAACCUCUGGAACAAACAAUACAAUGCUCCACAUCGUCCACUAGAGGGAGUCACACACUGAACUUUAGGUGAAUCACAUAACAAAUGCUCCAGCAACUAAGAAUCAGACACCAACAACGUCAUCUCUCUUCACUGCAGCUUGUUCUUGAAAGCUGAAACUGGUUCACAGAAUCUGACUAUUUGUCCCAAAAACAC